UACGUAGGUGACGAGCGUUAUCCGGAUUUACUGGGCGUAAAGCGCUUGUAGGUGGUUUCGUAAGUUGGGCGUGAAAUCUCUGGGCUUAACCCGGAGAGGCCGUUCAAUACUGCGAGGCUAGAGGAUGUCAGAGGAAGGUGGAAUUCCUGGUGUAGUAGUGAAAUGCGUAGAUAUCAGGAGGAACACCCGUGGCGAAGGCGACCUUCUAGGACGUACCUGACACUGAGAAGCGAAAGCCAGGGGAGCAAACAGGAUUAGAAACCCUGGUAGUCCUGGCUGUAAACGAUGAAUACUAGGUGUAGGCGGCGUAAAACCUGUCUGUGCCGAAGCUAACGCGUUAAGUAUUCCGCCUGGGAAGUACGAUCGCAAGAUUA
rnacentral:rRNA from 1 species